rnacentral:rRNA from 1 species
UGGGGAAUAUUGCACAAUGGGCGCAAGCCUGAUGCAGCCAUGCCGCGUGUGUGAAGAAGGCCUUCGGGUUGUAAAGCACUUUCAGCGGGGAGGAAGGCGGUGAGGUUAAUAACCUCACCGAUUGACGUUACCCGCAGAAGAAGCACCGGCUAACUCCGUGCCAGCAGCCGCGGUAAUACGGAUGGUGCAAGCGUUAAUCGGAAUUACUGGGCGUAAAGCGCACGCAGGCGGUCUGUCAAGUCGGAUGUGAAAUCCCCGGGCUCAACCUGGGAACUGCAUUCGAAACUGGCAGGCUAGAGUCUUGUAGAGGGGGGUAGAAUUCCAGGUGUAGCGGUGAAAUGCGUAGAGAUCUGGAGGAAUACCGGUGGCGAAGGCGGCCCCCUGGACAAAGACUGACGCUCAGGUGCGAAAGCGUGGGGAGCAAACAGG